GUCUCUGAUGAUGUUAAAAGAAUAAAAACUUUCGUUCUUCUGAGAGUAUUAUCCCUGCGGAAUAAUUAUGGAGACCUGAACUGAAGAGAC